AUACGUAGGUGACAAGCGUUAUCCGGAUUUACUGGGUGUAAAGGGCGUGUAGGCGGUUUAGCAAGUCAGAAGUGAAAUUCCCGGGCUUAACUUGGGCGCUGCUUCUGAAACUGCUUUACUUGAGUGCUGGAGAGGAUAGUGGCAUUCCUAGUGUAGUGGUAAAAUGCGCAGAUAUUAGGAGGAACACCGGUGGCGAAGGCGGCUAUCUGGACAGUAACUGACGCUGAGGCGCGAAAGCAUGGGGAGCAAACAGGAUUAGAUACCCUGGUAGUCCGUGCCGUAAACGAUGAAUACUAGGUGUAGGGGGUAUCGACUCCCUCUGUGCCGCAGUUAACACAUUAAGUAUUCCACCUGGGGAGUACGGCCGCAAGGUUGAAACUCAAAGGAAUUGGCGGGG
rnacentral:rRNA from 1 species